UACAUGCAAGUCGAGCGAGAAGUUACUCAAUGAAUCUUCGGAAGAAUUAAGUAAUGGAAAGCGGCGGACGGGUGAGUAACGCGUGGGCAACCUGCCUUUCACAGAGGGAUAGCCAAAGGAAACUUUGAUUAAAACCUCAUAAAGCCGGAAUAGUGCAUAAUAUACCGGCCAAAGAUUUAUCGGUGAAAGAUGGGCCCGCGUCUGAUUAGCUAGUUGGUGGGGUAACGGCUCACCAAGGCAACGAUCAGUAGCCGACCUGAGAGGGUGAUCGGCCACAUUGGAACUGAGACACGGUCCAAACUCCUACGGGAGGCAGCAGUGGGGAAUAUUGCACAAUGGGCGCAAGCCUGAUGCAGCAACGCCGCGUGAACGAAGAAGGCCUUCGGGUCGUAAAGUUCUGUCCAUAGGGAAGAAACAAAUGACGGUACCUAUGGAGGAAGCCCCGGCUAAAUACGUGCCAGCAGCCGCGGUAAUACGUAUGGGGCAAGCGUUAUCCGGAAUUAUUGGGCGUAAAGAGUGCGUAGGUGGUGGCUUAAGCGCAGGGUUUAAGGCAAUGGCUUAACUAUUGUUCGCCUUGCGAACUGGGUCACUUGAGUACAGGAGAGGAAAGCGGAAUUCCUAGUGUAGCGGUGAAAUGCAUAGAUAUUAGGAGGAACACCGGUGGCGAAGGCGGCUUUCUGGACUGCAACUGACACUGAGGCACGAAAGCGUGGGUAGCAAACAGGAUUAGAUACCCUGGUAGUCCACGCCGUAAACGAUGAGCACUAGGUGUCGGCCACUAAA
rnacentral:rRNA from 1 species